UUCCUCAUUCUCACAGCCUUGGUUAUUGUCUCCACCAACUCGGUUCAUUGACCUACAAAUGCCAGCUUCUCUUGAAUGUUUUCCAUCUCUUUCCCAGACCAUCCACAGUUGGCAGCCAAGCUUUGCAAGUUUUAUUUCUGAAAUGCUUCUCAACUUCUUUCUAGGUACAGAAGACCACCUGCACCAUCUCUUGCUGGGUGAGAGCCACUCUCUGCAGACGUAGUCACAGCUGGUAUUUCACCAGCAGAUGCCAUGAUUCAAUUCCACCAUAAUGACAUUGGGUAGUCUUUGUCAACUCUCCUGCUUGUCAGAAGGAUGUAAAAACACUUCAGAAACAUACUGGAAAUCUUCAUGAGUAGUGUUCAGAGAUGGCUACUCAAGGUCAUGGUUACCCUCAUACACAGAUUCUGAAGGCUACUCUUGGCUACAAUUCAGGUGACCAGUUAAUCCUGACAGAAGCUCCCAACCCUCUGUAAUUCAGCCCUGUCAUCCUUGUGACGUGGAUUACCUUUCUGGCUACAAAUUGAAUCAUGAUGGCUUAUCACAGUGUUGUUCUGCAAGCCUGGAAGGUAUCCUCUGAACAGACAGCAUGCCAACCCAUGUCACCCUUGCCUUCUUCCCCCACCUCUCAUUAUGGUAUUGCACAGAGAUUGGACUGGAAGUCAGACAGAUGUGGGCUGAAGCCCUGGCUCCCCUAACUGUGGAAUGGUGCUGUUUUCUCAGUCUCUCUGGUCCUCAACUUCUCUUUAUAAAAUCGGUGGACAGUGGGAGCAUAUAAUAAUCUCAAGUACUUAAAAAAGUUUUAACUUCUUCUAAGCUCCUAGUAAUUGCUUUUAUUUCUCUUACAACAUUUUAAUUUUUAUCAAAAUAACACAUGUAUGGAAUUCAAAAUGGAAACAAAACUAAAAAAGCAAAAAGACUUUUUCCAUUCCACUUUUCCCAAUGCCAAUGAUAGACUGUGAUCAAUCUUCAGAAAAUCUCAAAUUAGACUGUAACUUGGAUAGCAAACAAUGAAGAAGCUUAAAAGAAAGAGAAAAGAAAAAAUAUAAGGUAAGGUGGUAAUAUAAGAAAUGUAUAUAGGAAGUAAUUUAACUCAAAAUAUAUUCCACUACUCAGAAGCAGAUAAUAUACAUUUUAUCCUAGAAAUGUAACAUAGGAUAUUGCUCUAAUCCAAAACUACCCUGGGAAAAUGAAAGGAGGUGGUGAGUAUGUGUGUGUUCAACAAUGGUAUCCUCAUUUUGCAUAGCAGCAAGUCAAUAGACAAUUCUUAAAACUGAAAAACAGGGCCAGGCACAGUGGUUCAUGCCUGUAAUCCAAGCACUUUGGGAAGCUGAGGUGGGUGGAUCACCUGAGGUGAGGAGUUCGAGACCAGCCUGACCAACAUGGCAAAACCCUGUCUCUACUAAACAUACAAACAUUAAUUGGGCAUGGUGGCAGGUGCCGGUAAUCUCAGCUACUCGGGAGGCUGAGGCAGGAGAAUUGCUUGAACCCAGGAGGCGGAGGUUGCAGUGAGCCGAGAUCAUUCCAUUGCACUCCAGCCUGAGCGACAGAGAGAGACUGCAUCUCAAAAAUCAAAACAAAACAAAAAUCUGAAAAACAAGAAAUUAUGACAUAACCCAAUUGUUUUAGAAAUACAGGUGGACAUCAUACUCAGGAGAAAAAUGAUUAAAGUGAUCGUCCCUAGCAAACUAAUGUAACCACAAAUAAAAAAGUAAAAUUACGUACUUUUUCAAAGCUGUUUAUCACAUUACAGCAGCUGUGCCCAACUGGUCUCCUCUUUUCUCUCAAAGUCUUUAUGUUUUUGUGUCUUUGCUGAAUUGUUUAAUUCUUUGCUGACACUCUCUAGUUUUUGUUUUGUUUUGUUUUGUUUUUUUGCUGUGUACAGUCAUUCCUCUGUAUCCAUGGGUGAUUGAUUGGUUCCAGGACCCCUCUUGAAUAUCAACAUAUGAGGAUGCUCAAGAUUCUGACAAAAAAAUGGUGUAGUAUUUGCAUAUAACUUAUGCACAUCUUCCUGUAUACUUUAAAUCAUCUCUAGGUUACUUAGAAUACCUAAUACAACGUAAAUACUUGUUAUACUAUACUGGUUUCUUAUUUGUAUUAUUUUUAUCGUAUUGCUGUUUAUUAUUUUUUAAUAUUUUUCAUCUGUGGUUGGUUGCUUGUUGGAGCAUUUUCAAUUCACCUGCCUUAAAAUCUUUGUUAGAUAAUUUUAACAUUUGGUUCACCUUAAAGUUGGUAUAUAUUGAUUAUCUUUUUUUCAUUCAGGUUGAGAUAUCCAAAUUUCCUUUUUGUAUGGGGACCCAAGUCAUAUAAGAUGAUGGGCCCAACCUACUCCAGUAUUCUCAUACAGUCACAUUGUGAAGUUCUGAGGAUCAAGACUGCAACACAGAAAUCUGGAAGGAGGAACACAAUUCAAUUCCUAACAGCAGUAUAAAUGAAUCCCCUCUUUAGUAUGAUUUUUAGACUUUAUAGGAAACAUUCUCAUUAUUUCUCAGUUAUUUUUGGCAUAAUGAAUGAAGUUUCUUCUGAAUGUGGCAAGAAGUGUGAACCACUUGGCUGCUCAAGCACAAAUGGGGAUUUGCAGGGAGAAGCUGGAGCUGUGGUCUCCAUUUUCCUAAGAAUGGUGCCAAGAAUAAAAAGCAAUGAAGGGUUUGUGAUAAAAGAGUAAAUAGU